UAUGUUUCACGGAGUUACCUUGUUCAUUUCAGACAAAGAGCCUGUAGAAGUAGAUUUGUGGAGCUAGAGAUGGCAGGUCCCUGAUGGAAAGUCUGACUGUCUCCAGACAGGCAAGAUUUUGAGCCCAGUGAUUUUCUCCUGCUCAUGCGAUUAGUUUGUUUUAUAAUCUGCUGCUGCCGAGCAAACUUUGACACUACUUAUAGAAAGAAACUGUUGUUUUCAGAACUUAAAACACAGUCAUGGGAGGCUGGUGAUUAGAGAAACUAUAUGAAGUUUCACAAUCAGAGCAGCUGGUCAGAGAUGACAGAAGAUGAUGCUGAA
rnacentral:lncRNA from 1 species